rnacentral:rRNA from 1 species
CCUACGGGUGGCAGCAGUGGGGAAUAUUGCACAAUGGGGGAAACCCUGAACCAGCGACGCCGCGUGAAGGAAGACGUAUCUAGGUGUUGUAAAUUGUAUUUGUAGGGAAGAAAAUGAAGGUACGUGAAUAAGAAGCACCGGAUAACUACGUGCCAGCAGCCGCGGUAAUGUGCAGGGGGCAGGCGUUAUCCGGAUUUACUGGGUGUAAAGGGAGCGUAGGCGGUGCAGAAGGUCAGAAGUGAAAGCCCGGGGCUCAACUCCGAGACUGCUUUUUAAACUGUUGAACUAGAGUGCAGGAGGGGUAAGUGGAAUUCCUAGUGUAGCGGUGAAAUGCUUAGAUAUUAGGCAGAACACCAGUGGCGAAGGCAGCUUACCGAACUGUAAAUGACGUUGAGGCUCGAAAGCGUGGGGAGCAAACAGGAUUAGAUACCCCAGUAGUC